CGAGAAAGCCCGCAAGGGUGAGUACAGCGGCGCACGGGUGCGUAACACGUGAGUAAUCUGCCCUGGAGCCCGGAAUAACCUCCCGAAAGGGAAGCUAAUGCCGGAUGAGCCCACGGGGUCCUUGGACCCUGAGGGAAAAGGCGGCCUCUGUAUACAAGCUGUCACUUCAGGAUGAGCUCGCGGCCCAUCAGCUAGUUGGCGGGGUAAUGGCCCACCAAGGCAACGACGGGUAGCUGGUCUGAGAGGACGAUCAGCCACACUGGAACUGAGACACGGUCCAGACUCCUACGGGAGGCAGCAGUGGGGAAUCUUGCGCAAUGGGCGAAAGCCUGACGCAGCAACGCCGCGUGUGUGAUGAAGGUCUUCGGAUCGUAAAGCACUGUCGCGAGGGACG
rnacentral:rRNA from 1 species